AUGGCUGCAACCAAAGGUAAAAGAAUAAAGAGCAAUGCAGUGAGGAUUGUGCUUCCAGUUGUAGGCUCUGGUGUUCUAGUACUCAUAUGCAUCUCCCUUGCAUGGUUAAAAUUCAAAGGCAAGAACAAGAAAGGGACAACGCAAAAGAAUAUAAGGUUGGAGGGUAUGAGUAUCUCCGAUAAAUUUGAAGAAGAAAACUCUCCCCAUGAUCAAGAAUUUCCAUUUGUAAGAUUAGAAGAAAUUGCCUUCACAACCCACAAUUUCUCCGAGACAUGCAUGAUUGGACAGGGAGGCUUUGGUAAAGUAUACAAGGGAAUGUUAGGUGGUCAAGAAGUUGCAACAAGAGGCUAA
rnacentral:rRNA from 1 species